CCGUGGAUAAACUUGAAAUUGAUAGCAAAUAGCAAAUACACUUUAUUUAUAGUAUAAGUAUGAUCAAUGAAACAGAAAAACGAGACAACAGUUCCAAAGUACUAAGACAAUUUUAAGACAACCCUGAACGGAACUCUUGUCUAUGACCUAAAAGUCUCGCUGAUGACGCUAACACUAUCCGGACGUUUUCCUCCCAAAAUAACCC
rnacentral:lncRNA from 1 species